UGGUUCAGGCAAUAAAAAGAGAAGUCAUCUACCUAGCUGUUAUCUCGCUCUGUCCUGCUAAGAAUCUGCCUGCCUGAGUGAUGCAGCCAGGCUCCCUUGUUCCCUGGGGCAAGGAACCAGUAGAGGGAUAGGGAAUCACAGUGUUUCCCGGCUGCAAGGGCCCUUGGAGAUGGUUUUACAGAUGAGGAAGCAGAGUCCAGAGAAAGGAAGUGAUCUGCUGGGAACCACUGUACUUUUCACACAAGCAACUUUCCGGGCAUCUGCUAUGUGCUGUCCACAGGAUGGCGAGGGGACUAUCCUAAACAUCCUGCCAUUAAUUAGCUGAACAGCCCAUCUAGUAAACAAGACCGAUGGUUGAGGGGCUGGAAAAGAGGAGGAGUCAGCAAGUUGAAAGUCACAACAGACCAGCCCACUCCCUCAGAUAAAAGAAAGGCACAUCACAGUUGUCACAUCAGCAGGCUAGAAAAGCCAUCCCAUUCCUGCGGUAGGCAUUCUGUCAAAGAAAAAGAAAUCUGCAAUGAAUUAUCACAUGAAGUCAAACAAGGAAAGGAGGCAAAAAGCAAGCAGAGCCCUCUUCCUGUUUUGUAGACUCUGCUGGCUACAAUCUAAUAGAAUGCUUAAUCUGAAUAUUUCUGGUGGCAAAACUAUAGCAACCAUUCUGUCUAUUAAAAAGUCAGUGUGGUUAACAAGUGGUUAGUGAUUCUAUUUUUGGGAAGUAGCAGAUACAUAAAAUAAGACAUCCCAUUUUGUUAACUGAUUGGGCUUGGUUAGGCCAAAGAGAUGUAUUGAAUCUGUUUGUCUUUUAUAAACAUGUGUUCUCUAUUCGAUAUGCUCAGGAAUCACUUCUAACUAACUAAGUAUCUUAAUAGUCUAUAAAUUACUGACUCAUUACUGGCCCUUCCCGGGCCUAAUUUAUAGUCUGAGUGAAAAGCUGUCGGAACAGACACUAAUAGAGGCCUCUCCUCCUCCCUAAAAUAUGAUGAUCUCAAAGGAGUUCUGUAUAGUUCUGCAUAUUGUAGACAGUAUCAAAAAUGCAAAUCUUAUAUAAUUUUAUAUACAUACCUGUACGUACAGAUGUACACAUGGAUAUGCAUGGUGGGAUAAAAUACUCCCAUAAAAGAAAAUGGGAAAAUGGAUUCUAAGUGCAAUAAUUAAUACGUUUCAGUAAAGAAAGAAAAGUUGCAUGCUUUUCAUUCCAAGAGACAUAUUUUGCAUUUCAGUGUUGGGAGACCUGGAUCACACAGGGUCUCUGUAACAUCCUGAAUUCCACCAUAAGACCCAGAGGGGAGCAGAACUAAAAUUCAGGACUUAGGAAUAAAAUUUCCCUUUCCCUGGCACAUUUUUAAUCAUUUAAACUAGUAACAGUCACAUCCAGAGAAUUCAUAACCGUCAAUCUUUUCAGAAAAACAAAGAAAAUCAUAAAAUUCAGGUUAGGGAUUUUUCCCCCUUAGGCUAAUAACUCUGAAGCAGUUCUGGAGUCUGUAUACUUCCAGCCCAAUGAAUUAACCUUGAACAGCCACAGCCAUAUUUUAAGAAAUACAGAAUAACCUUUUACGAUCAAGAUAAUGCUAUGGAGGCAGUGAAAUCUUCAUCUUAAAAAAUAAUUAAACCACAUUUAUAAUUAAUUAUACUAAAAAUGGAAAGUAGACUUAACCCUUUUAGAAAGACUUCCAUCAACAUGAGGUGAAACAAAUAUAGUUUUCUAGAUAACCUUCUCUUAAUCAUAAAAUUCAAUUAACUUGAAAACCUUCUCUCCAAAUAUCCUGCUUAAGAAGAUUUACUGUGCUUGUCAGGCUUUGGCGCCCUGGCUGAAAUUUCUUUGCUUAGUUAUGCUGCUAUGCAGUUCACUCCAGAUCAGUGUAUCAGGGAUGACAAAACAGUGGCACAUUCCAAGUGUCAUUCCUCAGUGUUCUUUCUGUGAGCUUGUUCUUUACCAUGGGGCUUUUUGUGUUGUAGAACACUUCUGGAUUGAAGAAAACAUUCUAACAAGGACUAGAAAAUUCCAACUCUACUUCCUAAAAUUGCGCUAUAGAACAGUGUUAAGUGAAUGCCUCAGAGAGCCACAAAUAACUUGCAGGAAUGCAUAGGGUGUCUUCCCACAACCACAGGCAGUGGAGCCUCAGUCUGUGAAACAAACAGCUCCUACCACCACGGCUGCCUUACAGAGAGGCUUAUGCCAAAGUAAUACUCUUAGCUUCUUGACCUUGAUAUUUUAAAUUUUAUAACCACAGUGACAAUCUUUAACAUCAUGUAUUAUUUAAAGCACAGGGAUGGUUUUAUAUGGAGUUAAAUGGACCUAGGAGUAAGGCUGCAUUCCUUCUAAACAUACAGUGUUGAAGUGAGCCUUGCUUGAGAAAGGAGGUUUUGGCUUAGAGGGAGACUGAGUCUUAGCUGAGUUCACCUGAGAAAUAACCAGGUUUUAAUCUUUUCAGACGGGGCAAUAUAAAAUAGUUCUUAUUAGCAUGGAAAAGGUCACUUUUGAAAGAUCGAUUCACCUUCACAGAUGAUUUAUCACUGCUUUGCAAACAAAAGAUUUUUUUUUAAUAACUUAUUUAAUAACACAGAUCCUAUGAGAAAACCAAAGUUUAGAGUUGACCCAGAUUUCUGUGAUGUUCUUCCCAUUUGAAUUCUGAAAUAAAUAAAGAAGGAACAAACAAGCAUGUGUAAUUAGUGAAGAGCAAUUUCAGUAAACAUAUUCCCUAGGGUACUCUAUUUUGAGUCACUGCUUUUUCCUUUUGAUGUACAAAGGAUGUACAUUGUCUAUGUAGGGCAAUUAUGGGAACGUCCCAACUUUGGCAUGCUUUCCAGAAUAAGCAACUUUACAGGAAGAUGGAUGAAGACAACAACUCAUCUUCACGUCAACUGUAAAUUUCUCUCUAUUUGUGUUGCAAAUGUUGAAACUAAAUUUAAACAUUGCUUGGUGUGAGGGCCUUCCAGAGGCCACAUUCUCAUGGAAUACUUUGUAUCCCACUUACUUUCUUCUGUCAGACCCUAUGAAUGAUUCCCAGUUCUGUAUCUAUCUUUACAGACACUCCUAGUUAGUAAAAUCCAGGCUUUGACCAGAAAGAGUCAGGACUUCCACCCACUACUGAAAAUUAUAGCUUAAUCAAUAACACAAUUAGACCUCCCCAACAAACUGGAUCCUACGUGCCUAUAUACUACUUAAGGUUCAUUUCUGGUUUAAUAAAGCUCUGUUCUCAACAUCAGUUGCUCCUUUGUGAAUUUGCUGAAAAGCUCAGACAUUUUAGCAUCUCUUAAAGUUCACAGCAAAGACAAUACUUAAUGUGUUUAAGGCCCAAUUAGUUAUAAAAUUAGGAAUUCAUAGUUCCCAUUUUUUUUAAUUGAGGACCCAAUUUUUGACAUUCAUUUAUUCAUACAGUGCCAAAUUACGACCUGUGCCAGAAUGUCAAUCUACCUGGAUAAGCAGAUACAGAUUUUACCUACUGCACUGGGCACUGUGGGGUAAUUAAUUUCUAAGUGUGUACUUUUUAAAGUGACUGUUUUUUACUUCAUAUGGACAAGGUAGAGAAAACAUUUAAAUCCCAUAGUGGUUUACUUCUGUUUUUUAUGGGUUAUCAUAAAUUGAUACAUCUUAGGGGAUACAAAUGAAUAUUAAAAAGCAAAAGAUUAAUAUUUUUCUUAAAAGGACACAUGCUACAAAACUUACUUUGUAGUUCCGACUUAAAUAUUACUGCGUAUUAUGUUUGCCAUUAGCCUACUUAUUAAAACAUUAACUAUAAACACCAGUCUUUCUUCCAGUACAGACUUGUUUUAUUCUAUUACCUUUCCUGAUUCUCUUCUGCUUUCUCAAAUCUUAAAUAAACUAGCAUAAGAAUCUCACUGUAGUAAGUAAGUCCCAAACUCUCCUACAAAUACUUUAUUUCUCAAAGGCAUAAGAAAGAGGUUUUGGUUCUAUUGUCUGAAUUCCUAUAAAUUUGCUUAAUAUGAUUUCAGCAAAUUUUUACUGAGUUCUUAUUCUGUAAAUCACUGUGUGCUUGGUGGUACAACAGGACACUAAGAUAAAUAGACAGUCCCUGGCUUCACUAAACUUCCAGUUUCACAUUCAAGUUUUAACCACCACAAGUAAAAUGCACUGAGAGGUCAUUCUCAAAGUGAGAAAGGAGGGAGAAAACAAAGCAGGCUUUUGUUUUUUUGCUUCUAA
rnacentral:lncRNA from 1 species